rnacentral:rRNA from 1 species
UACGGAGGGAGCUAGCGUUGUUCGGAAUUACUGGGCGUAAAGCGCACGUAGGCGGCUUUGUAAGUCAGGGGUGAAAUCCUGGAGCUCAACUCCAGAACUGCCUUUGAUACUGAAGAUCUUGAGUUCGGGAGAGGUGAGUGGAACUGCGAGUGUAGAGGUGAAAUUCGUAGAUAUUCGCAAGAACACCAGUGGCGAAGGCGGCCAACUGGACCACAACUGACGCUGAGGCGCGAAAGCGUGGGGAGCAAACAGG